rnacentral:tRNA from 1 species
CGGGAAUAGCUCAGUUGGUAGAGCGCAACCUUGCCAAGGUUGAUGUUAAUCACUCCUCAUCCUCUAUUCUUAA